rnacentral:lncRNA from 1 species
GCGGGCAGCUGGAGCGCUACCUGGGCGCGGCGGCCCACGGCUGCGGCGGCGCCACCGUGCGCCACGCUGUUUUCGCGGCUAAAGGCCGCGCGGCUGACUGCGAGAGCCCGCGCGAGUUUCGAGAGCGGGCCCUGCGCGCCUGAUGGGUCGAGGCGGACGCGCGGCUGCGUCAGGUUAUCCAAGGACAUGGAAAAGCCAACACCAUGGUAGCAUUAAUGAAAGUUUACCAAGAGGAAGAUGAAGCCUACCAGGAAUUAGUUACCAUGGCAACCAUGUUUUUCCAGUACUUACUGCAGCCAUUUAGGGCUAUGCGAGAAGUUGCAACUUUAUAAUUCCUUGGAUGAGGAUGACGUAGGUCCUACGUCUCCAGGAUAGUUGCCCUGGAGAAAGAAGCUGAAGAAUGGACCAGACGGGCUGAAGAAGCUGUUGUCUCUAUUCAAGAUAUCACAGUGAAUUAUUUUAAUUAGACAGUAAAAGCAUUAGCAGGAGUGUCUGAUAUAUUGUGCAGAAUCAGCAAGAUAUAAAGCAGAAUGAUAAUCCUGGUUUUUUGGUCAAACUAUCCAUAUGAGCCUGUCUGUCUAGCUAGACAUAGAAACAAUAUGGAAGCAAGUGUGCCAAAAUAUAAGAAGCAGUUGCCUCAACUAGGAAUGCAGAAAGAAAUGGAACAGGAUGUGAAGAGAUUUGGCCAGGCUGCCUGGGCCACAGCAAUUCCCAGGUUGGAAAAACUUAAGCUAAUGCUAGCUCAAGAGACUCUGCAACUCAUGAGAGCGAAAGAAUUGUAUUUAAAUCGCAAAAGAGCUGAAAUUCAGGGAAAGAUGGAAGAUCUUCCAGAACAAGAAAAAAAUAUAAAUGUUGUAGAUGAAUUAGAAAUGCAAUUUUAUGAAAUUCAGUUAGAACUAUAUGAAGUUAAAUUUGAGAUAUUAAAAAACGAAGAAAUACUGCUUACUACACAGUUGGACUCUCUUAAAAGACUUAUAAAAAGUAAAGUUUAUAUUUAAGUAUAUAGAUUACAAUGUUUAUAAAUUUAAGGAAAUACAGACCAUAUUAUCAAUUACUUUUUGUAAACUGUAACAUCUGAAAAUUUCCUAAAGUUUUCCUUCAGUAGUUUAUUAUUCAAAUAAUAUAUUCAUUGUUAGCACAUAGCAAAACAAAGAAAGAAAAAUGAUUAUUACUCCAAUCCCAUCAUCUAGAGAUGCUUAGUGUUUGGCUGGGCACAGUGGCUCACGCCUAUAAUCCCAGCACUUUGGGAGGCUGAGGCGGGCGGAUCACUUGAGGUCAGGAGUUCCAGACCAGUCUGACCAACAUGGUGAAACCCCAUCUCUACUAAAAAUACAAAAAUACUAAACCCUGUCUCUACUAAAAAUACAAAGUCCGAUGUGGUGGCACGUGCCUGUAAUCCCAGCUACUUGGGAGGCUGAGGCAGGAGAAUGGCUUGAACCCGUGAGGUGGAAGUUUCAGUGAGCCAAGAUCGUGCCACUGCACUCCAGCCUGGAAGACAGAGCGAGACUCCGUCU